rnacentral:rRNA from 1 species
GACGAAGGGGGCUAGCGUUGUUCGGAAUUACUGGGCGUAAAGCGCGUGUAGGCGGUUUGCCAAGUCGGGUGUGAAAGCCUUGGGCUUAACCCAAGAAAUGCACUCGGUACUGGCAGACUAGAGGACCGGAGAGGAUAGUGGAAUUCCCAGUGUAGUGGUGAAAUACGUAGAGAUUGGGAAGAACACCAGUGGCGAAGGCGGCUAUCUGGACGGUACUGACGCUGAGACGCGAAAGCGUGGGGAGCGAACAGG